rnacentral:sRNA from 1 species
GUUGGGCGCAGUGGGGCCGCCUGUCAUCCCAGUGACUCAGGAGGCUGAGGCAGGAGGAUCACACUUAGAGGCCAGCCUCAGCCAAAGUGAGGCUCUAAGCCACUCAGGGAGACCCUGUCUCUA